rnacentral:tRNA from 1 species
UUUUCUUAAAAAUUUCUUU